rnacentral:lncRNA from 1 species
GGGAGGUCCCAGGCUGGACAUCUUUACCAGGGGCUGGGAGAAAGCAGGCCGUGCUCUGUGGUCUCAGAGUCUUCCUGGCGCUCUUUGGAACCUGACAGAACAUGACCUCAGUCCCAGCCAGCGAGUGGCAGAGAGGACUUUGUACUUGGCUGCAAUAAAACAUGCCCUUCUUCGCAGAGACACGAACAAUCUCGUCUCUACCAGAGGCCUGUGAGACAUCAGCUCAGGACCUUGACCUGCAGACACCUCCCCUGUGCACAUUCUUGAUCUCAGACUUUCACAGGUGCUUUCUGUGGCAGGAAGAGUGAGGGUCCCAGGAAAGGUGUGGAUCCCAGAAGUCUCACUCAGUGUCACCCUCACGGACACACUGGGAAACUGGUCCGACCGAGUCCAGGAAGACAGCAGACACACGUGUCCUCUGUGGCACCAGCUCCUGUGGACACGCCCCCAGCACCGCAGGCCAUGCCAGUUACUACCCGGGCCAGGCUCGGGGACACAGCCUCAUGGUCCUGAGUAGACGCAAAGGCCCAUAGGCUGCGGCCUUGGGGCAGGAGCUUCUCCAGGGAGUGUGAACUUAGGCGCGCAGUAAGCGCGUGCUUGUGGUCACCACGUGGUCAGAUUCGCUGUGGUGAAUCUGUACCAACCCAAACUUGCCGGGAGUACAGAAAACUCUCAGAGCACUCGCACAGAAGAGCCAACAGCAAAGGGUCAGGCAGAAAAGUCUACUGGAGGGGCCGGGCGUGGUGGCUCAUGCCUACAAUCUGAGCACUUUGGGAGGCUGAGGCGGGUGGAUCUCCAGAGGUCGGGAGUUCGAGACCAGCCUGGCCAACGUGGAGAAACCCUGUCUCUACUAAAAAUUCAAAAAUAACCGGGAAUGGUGGCGCAUGCCUGUAAUCCCAGCUACUCGGGAGGCUGGGACAGGAGACUCGCUUGAACCCGGGAGGCAGAGGUUGCAGUCAGCCGAGAUCACGCCACUGCACUCCAGCCUGGGCAACAAAGAGUGAAACUCUGUCUCAAAGAAAAAAAGAAAUCUACUGGAGGAGAAUCAGCUGCUGUGCCAGGUAUUAACGUAGAGCCCCUCAGCUCUAAGUCCAUCCUUUUUACUUGCCCUGUAGAAACAGAGCUGGGCCCUUAGCAGGCUCUUCCUCCACAAUGCUGCGUGUCAUCAGCAGAGGGAGCCGAGGAGUGAACACAGCAGGAAGAGGUUUGCCUCCUGGUUCUGACCACUCUCUGCAGGGCCCUCCGACACCUGCAGUCUCCCCAGUACCUACUCCAGGGAGCAUCCUGCCCACUGUAGCCAGAGCCAGGGGCUUCCCCGACCCCAUUCGGGUAGCUGUUCUCUAGGGGUGCCUCUGCCAAGUGUCCUGCAACAGAAUAGCUUUCCUGGCAGCCAGGAGGCAGGUUCCCCACAAGCCCUGACAGCACGGUGGUGUCCCCACCACGCCGUUUGCAGCUGGUGCAGACCUCAGCCCUGGGUGGCAGUGACUGUAGCUGGGGGGCUCUGCCCCGGCCCUGGGUGGCGGCUGCUCCUGUGCCUGCUGUCCCUACACUCUGCAGAGUUCUUUUUACUCAUCCCAACCAGUGCCUCAUUACUCCCAUAGCCUGUGACAUUCUUUUCCUUUCCCUAAUGAUUUUUUAAAUUUUUUGUUUGUUUGUUUGCAUUAUCUUUUCUUAGAGGCAAGGUAUGACUCUGUGGCCCAGGCUGAAGUGCAGUGGUGCAACCACAGCUCGCUGCAGCCUCGACCUCCCCGGCUCAUGUGAUCCUCCCACCUCUGCAGCCUCGACCUCCCCGGCUCAUGUGAUCCUCCCACCUCAGCAGCCUCGACCUCCCCGGCUCAUGUGAUCCUCCCACCUCAGCAGCCUCGACCUCCCCGGCUCAUGUGAUCCUCCCACCUCUGCAGCCUCGACCUCCCCGGCUCAUGUGAUCCUCCCACCUCUGCAGCCUCGACCUCCCAGGCUCAUGUGAUCCUCCCACCUCUGCAGCCUCGACCUCCCCGGCUCAUGUGAUCCUCCCACCUCAGCCUCCCAAAGCACUGCGAUUUCAGCCCACACUCAGCCCAUUCUUUGUAGUAUUAAACUGUCCCUGUUCAAAUUACUGUGUGGCUCUCCUUUCUCGACUGGAGACUAAUAAUGUAUAUUUUAAUACAGGUUUUUUUUUUUAAGAUGGAGUCUCACUGUGUCACCCAGGCUGGAGUGCAGUGGCAUGAUCUCGGCUCACUGCAAGUUCCACCUCCCGGGUUCACGC